rnacentral:ribozyme from 1 species
UCUUGAAUGUGAAUACCUUCUCCUUUUCUUUUUCUUUCUUCUUUUUUUUUGUGCGUCAGCAACAAACAAAAGUAAAGGGGAGCAGGGAACAACGAGUGGCUGUGCGCUACGCGGUCCGGUGAUUAAAAAAAAAUCUUAAGCAAUGAACUGCUUUUCCCUUUUUAUU